rnacentral:rRNA from 1 species
UACGUAGGGAGCGAGCGUUGUCCGGAUUUACUGGGCGUAAAGGGCGCGUAGGUGGUCCAUUAAGUUAUAGGUGAAAGUUCGGGGCUCAACCCCGUGAUUGCCUGUGAUACUGGUGGACUUGAGUGCAGGAGAGGGGAGCGGAAUUCCCAGUGUAGCGGUGAAAUGCGUAGAUAUUGGGAGGAACACCAGUGGCGAAGGCGGCUCUCUGGACUGUAACUGACACUGAGGCGCGAAAGCGUGGGGAGCGAACAGG